UACAGAGGUCCCGAGCGUUGUUCGGAUUCAUUGGGCGUAAAGGGUGCGUAGGCGGCGCGGUAAGUCGGGUGUGAAAUCUCGGAGCUUAACUCCGAAACUGCAUUCGAUACUGCCGUGCUUGAGGACUGGAGAGGAGACUGGAAUUUACGGUGUAGCGGUGAAAUUGCGUAGAUAUCGUAAGGAAGACCAGUGGCGAAGGCGGGGUCUCUGGACAGUUCCUGACGCUGAGGCACGAAGGUCAGGGGGAGCAAACGGG
rnacentral:rRNA from 1 species